UUUUGCCUACGGGGGGCAGCAGUGGGGAAUAUUGCACAAUGGGGGAAACCCUGAUGCAGCGACGCCGCGUGAGUGAGGAAGUAGUUCGGUAUGUAAAUCUCUAUCAGCAGGGAAGAAAAUGACGGUAUCUGACUAAGAAGCCCCGGCUAACUACGUGCCAGCAGCCGCGGUAAUACGUAGGGGGCAAGCGUUAUCCGGAUUUACUGGGUGUAAAGGGAGCGUAGACGGAUAAGCAAGUCUGAUGUGAAAAUCCGGGGCCCAACCCCGGAAUUGCAUUGGAAACUGCAUAUCUAGAGUGUCGGAGA
rnacentral:rRNA from 1 species